rnacentral:lncRNA from 1 species
CCUGACGACACUUUUUGGGCUUGCAUCUGUCGUUGCUGACGAUGGCAAUACGCGUCAAUCGAUCUGACAUGUUGCCCUACACCGCCUUAAUCGAUGAUUACACGAAGGUGGAGAUUGGGUGGUAGAGAGAAAGGCGUGUGCUUGAAACGCUCAAGCAGAAGGAGGUUUCAAAAAGGGGAAAAGGAAGGAUAAAGAAAAAGCAAAGCUAGGGUCCUUAAUCGAUGAUUACACGAAGGUGGAGAUUGGGUGGUAGAGAGAAAGGCGUGUGCUUGAAACGCUCAAGCAGAAGGAGGUUUCAAAAAGGGGAAAAGGAAGGAUAAAGAAAAAGCAAAGCUAGGGUUCCUUGCUUCAAUUUGCCACUGGAAUCGGGUUUGUGGGUCGGAUUAUCCAAUUUACACUGAUCUUUUAUAUCUUACUAUUGUGUUGGGCUUGUUAACAUCUUGCUGGGUUUAUACA